AUGAACGCUAGCGACAGGCCUAACACAUGCAAGUCGAGGGCAACGGGGCGUAGCAAUACGCUGCCGGCGACCGGCGGAUGGGUGAGUAACGCGUAUGCAACCUGCCUUCAGCAGGGGGAUAGCCCGUUGAAAGACGGAUUAAUACCCCAUAACACAGGGGCUCCGCAUGGAGAUUAUUGUUAAAGGGAUGCUUCCUUCGGGGGUAUUCCGGCUGAAGAUGGGCAUGCGUUCCAUUAGGUAGUUGGUUGAGGUAACGGCUCACCAAGCCUGCGAUGGAUAGGGGAACUGAGAGGUUGGUCCCCCACACUGGUACUGAGACACGGACCAGACUCCUACGGGAGGCAGCAGUGAGGAAUCUUGGUCAAUGGACGGAAGUCUGAACCAGCCAUGUCGCGUGAAGGAGGACGGCCCUAAGGGUUGUAAACUUCUUUUGCAGCGGAAUAAAGUAUUCCACGUGAUGGGAUAUUGCAAGUACGCUGCGAAUAAGGAUCGGCUAACUCCGUG
rnacentral:rRNA from 1 species